rnacentral:tRNA from 3 species
GGCGGCAUGGCCAAGUGGUAAGGCACGGGACUGCAAAUCCCUGACCCCCCGUUCGAAUCGGGGUGCCGCCUCCA